rnacentral:tRNA from 1 species
GCCGAAGUGGUGGAACUGGUAGACGCGCUGCGUUCAGGGCGCAGUGGGGUUCACCCCCGUGGGGGUUCGACUCCCCCCUUCGGCACCA